CCUAACACAUGCAAGUCGAACGGUAACAGGAAGAAGCUUCGCUUCUUUCGCUGACGAGUGGCGGACGGGUGAGUAAUGUCUGGGAAACUGCCUGAUGGAGGGGGAUAACUACUGGAAACGGUAGCUAAUACCGCAUAACGUCGCAAGACCAAAGAGGGGGACCUUCGGGCCUCUUGCCAUCGGAUGUGCCCAGAUGGGAUUAGCUAGUAGGUGGGGUAACGGCUCACCUAGGCGACGAUCCCUAGCUGGUCUGAGAGGAUGACCAGCCACACUGGAACUGAGACACGGUCCAGACUCCUACGGGAGGCAGCAGUGGGGAAUAUUGCACAAUGGGCGCAAGCCUGAUGCAGCCAUGCCGCGUGUA
rnacentral:rRNA from 1 species